CCUACGGGGGGCUGCAGUGAGGAAUAUUGGUCAAUGGAGGAAACUCUGAACCAGCCAAGUAGCGUGAAGGAUGACGGCCCUAUGGGUUGUAAACUUCUUUUAUAUGGGAAUAAAAUGAUCCACGUGUGGGAUUUUGUAUGUACCAUAUGAAUAAGGACCGGCUAAAUCCGUGCCAGCAGCCGCGGUAAUACGGAGGGUCCGGGCGUUAUCCGGAUUUAUUGGGUUUAAAGGGAGCGUAGAUGGGUGGUUAAGUGAGUUGUGAAAGUUUGCGGCUCAACCGUUAAAUUGCAAUUGAUACUGGCAGUCUUGAGUACAGUGGAGGUAGGCGGAAUUCGUGGUGUAGCGGUGAAAUGCUUAGAUAUCACGAAGAACCCCGAUUGCGAAGGCAGCCUACUAAACUGUGACUGACACUGAGGCUCGAAAGUGUGGGUAUCAAACAGGAUUAGAUACCCUAGUAGUC
rnacentral:rRNA from 1 species